rnacentral:rRNA from 1 species
CAAUAGCGUAUAUUAAAGUUGUUGCGGUUAAAAAGCUCGUAGUUGGAUUUCUGCUGAGGAUGACCGGUCCGCCCUCUGGGCAGGUAUCUGGCUCAGCCUUGGCAUCUUCCUGAAGAACGCAGCUGCACUUGACUGUGUGGUGCGGUAUUUAGGACAUUUACUUUGAGGAAAUUAGAGUGUUUCAAGCAAGCGCACGCCUUGAAUACAUUAGCAUGGAAUAAUAAGAUAGGACCUCGGUUCUAUUUUGUUGGUUUCUAGAACUGAGGUAAUGAUUGAUAGGGAUAGUUGGGGGCAUUCGUAUUUAACUGUCAGAGGUGAAAUUCUUGGAUUUGCUAAAGACGGACUACUGCGAAAGCAUUUGCCAAGGAUGUUUUCAUUGA